AUAUAUAGAUCUAGGGUUUCUAUUUUAGCUUCUGCAUGUGUUAGUUAGGUAGUUAUAGAAAUUAGUUAGGUGUGGAUUUAACCAAAUCCAUUCUAACUAAUUUCUGUUAGGGUUUUUGUAAUAUCCAGUUUAUUUUUUUUUAUUAUUAUUAUCAUUAUUAUUAUUAUUAUUAUUAUUUUUGUUGUUGUUGUUGUUGUUGUUGUUGUGCGUGUGUGAUUAGAAAAAAAAUGAUAUAUAUAUAUAUAUUAAAUAGGGAGAUAAAUAAAUAGUGAAGCAUUAGAUUAGUUAGUUAGUUUAAAAUUUAAAAUUUAAAUUUAAAUCAGCAUAAUUUUAUCUGAUUAGUUAGAUAUUUAUUUUUAAAUUUAAACCUAUUAUACGAUAUGUUAUAUACGUAUAUACUCUAUAACCCUAGCAGCCAGAUAGUAUCGUAUUCCCUUAUUCUCACCAUCUCUCAAUUUCUUUUUUUUAUUCUCUCUAUUGAACCAAAUCAAUUGUUUUAAUCUUAAGAGCUUCGGGGUUAGCAAUCAACCGAUCAUCGUUCCGUGUCUUCGAAAUCUUCAGGUAAAAUUCGUACUUGUUUUUAUUUUCGUUUUCAGAGAAAUAGGCUUUCAUAAAACUAUCAUAUCUCUCUCCCCAUAGGUCCGUUUUCAGUGAUCUAGGUACCGUUUUAAAGAUAAUUUAAUGAUCUAUAUUUUCUAUGAAGAAACUCUUUCCUAAUUCUGAAUAUUUCGAUGUCAAAAAAUUCAUGUUUUACACUGACUUUCGAAUUACAGUUUUUUUUUAAAUUUCUUUUCGAUAUCGCCUUAGUAAAAGUGUCAUAUCUCUCUCGAUAUCUAUUAUUUUCAAGCGAUUCUUGUACUGUUAGAAAGAUAAUUCAAUAAUCCAUAUUUUCUUUCAAGAAACCUUUCCCUAGUUCGGAGUUCUUACCAGUCAAAAGUUAGGAUCUUUACUCGGUUAUGGUAUUUCGUUUUAAGUUUCGUUUCAGAAAAAGUGUCUUCAGUAAAAAUUCAAUAUCUCUCUCAAUUUCGAUCCAUUUUAAAAGAUCUUUAUCUCGUUUUAAAGCUUAGGAAAAUAGCUACAUUUUUUAUGAAGAAAGUAUUGUCUAGAUCAGGGUGUAACUAUUUUUAAAACAUUUAUUUUUAGGCUGUAUUCAGAAAUCGGCGUGAUCCAGGAUUUUAAAGAAACUGUUUUGAGAAAACAUGCAUAACUCCUAGAUUAUAGCUCCGAUUUUGAUGAUCUUUAUACCGUUAGAAAGGUCUUUCAAUUAACUAAAAACUUUGUGAACAGUAGGACUUCUAAUUCAAACGUUUUAUAUGUCAAAUUCUAGGUUAAACUUGCUGUACAGUAAGAGUAAUAAAUAUAUUGAGUUUAUCGGUGGACUAAGGGUUUCACUAAUUGUUAUAGGGCCUAGAAGGUAUCGUAAGAGUUAAUUACAGCGGAGUUGAGAUAAGUAAGCCUGUAAGCUUUCGGUGACAAGUUGAGUCUGGGCAGCAUGGGGUGUAUCUCGUGUGAUCAUGUAACUGCGUGUGGUCUUGGCCAUCUUCCGCUGAAAGUUUUUUUUUAAUUUAUUAAACUUAUCGAGGAUGUUGUCGUUUAAAUUUUCUAUUACUUUUCCCUAAGUGGUAAUACUUUAUUUUCAACUGGGUACCCAUGUUUUGAAAAGUGUUUUUUUUUUAAAUAAAGGCAACAUUAGUAUCUUAACGCCAGUUUAUUUAUGGCAUCUUAUUUUACGUAAGUAAGGGCGUUACAAAUGGUACCAGAGCCACAGUUACAUUGAUCUUGAAUUCACGCGACAUACACACCAUCGCUGCAAAGGAUCAACUUGUCAUCAAGUAUGUAUGCUUUAUAUAUGUUAUGUCUUAUAUGUUAAAUUUGGUUUAGUCUUUAUCUUUUAAUUUUCCUUUAGUUAGCUAGAAGUUUAGGGUAUGUUAAUCGAAACAAUUAACUGAUUCUUCGGAGUUAGAAUUUUAGUAUAACUCAAACAAUUUUCUUAUUAGUGUAAUUUUUUUUUUAUGAGUGAAGAUUAUUUAUUUAUUUAUUUAUUUUA